rnacentral:rRNA from 1 species
UACGGGGGGAGCAAGCGUUGUUCGGAUUUACUGGGCGUAAAGGGCGGGUAGGCGGCCACCGCAAGUCAGUUGUGAAAUCUCCGGGCUUAACCCGGAAAGGUCAACUGAUACUGCGGGGCUAGAGUGCAGAAGGGGCAACUGGAAUUCUCGGUGUAGCGGUGAAAUGCGUAGAUAUCGAGAGGAACACCUGCGGCGAAGGCGGGUUGCUGGGCUGACACUGACGCUGAGGAGCGAAAGCAUGGGGAGCGAACAGG